GGCAGCAGUGAGGAAUAUUGCGCAAUGGGCGAAAGCCUGACGCAGCGACGCCGCGUGGAGGAUGAAGGCCUUCGGGUUGUAAACUCCUGUCAGGGGGGACGAAUGUCAGCAGGAUGAAUAAUCCUGCUGGUUGACAGUACCUCCAAAGGAAGCCCCGGCUAACUCCGUGCCAGCAGCCGCGGUAAUACGGAGGGGGCCAGCGUUGUUCGGAAUUAUUGGGCGUAAAGGGCGCGUAGGCGGCUCUGCAAGUCGAAGGUGAAAUCCCUCAGCUCAACUGAGGAACUGCCUCCGAUACUGCAGGGCUUGAGUUCCGGAGAGGGUAGCGGAAUUCCCAGUGUAGCGGUGAAAUGCGUAGAUACUGGGAGGAACACCGGUGGCGAAGGCGGCUACCUGGACGGAUACUGACGCUGAGGCGCGAAAGCGUGGGGAGCAAACAGGAUUAGAUACCCUGGUAGUCCACGCUGUAAACUAUGGGCACUUGGUGUUGCGGGUAUCGACCCCUGCAGUGCCGGAGCUAACGCAUUAAGUGCCCCGCCUGGGGAGUACGGUCGCAAGGCUGAAACUCAAAUGAAUUGACGG
rnacentral:rRNA from 1 species